GUUAAUGGAUUUCAGUCAUAUUCAAUACUUUUGGUCUGUGAAUUCCAUAUAUGCUAGUCACAUGACUCUUGUUGUAUCUUUUUGUUUAUUUUAAUGACAGAUGAAGAUGUUGAAUUGCAGCCCCCUGACAUUCCGACUGUAAAUGAACACAAAUUUCUGUUUGCCUUUACGGUUCUUGUUUCAGUUGGUGUUGUGAUUGCACUUUUGGUGCUGAUUGCAAUCGCUGACAGGGAAUCUCACAAACAUGAUCACGACAGCUAAA